rnacentral:rRNA from 1 species
GAUGAACGCUGGCGGCGUGCCUAAUACAUGCAAGUCGAGCGAACGGACGAGAAGCUUGCUUUUCUGAUGUUAGCGGCGGACGGGUGAGUAACACGUGGAUAACCUACCUAUAAGACUGGGAUAACUUCGGGAAACCGGAGCUAAUACCGGAUAAUAUUUUGAACCGCAUGGUUCAAAAGUGAAAGACGGUCUUGCUGUCACUUAUAGAUGGAUCCGCGCUGCAUUAGCUAGUUGGUAAGGUAACGGCUUACCAAGGCAACGAUGCAUAGCCGACCUGAGAGGGGGAUGGGCCCCCCGGGAACUGAGACCCGGCCCAAACCCUCACGGGGGGCAGGUGUGGGGAAUUUUCCGAAAGGGGGGAAACCCUACCGGGGCCACGCCGCGUGGGUGAUGAAGGUCUUGGGUUCGUAAAACUCUUUUUUUAGGGAAAAACAUUUGUGUAAGUAACGGGCCACAUUUUGCCGGUACCAAAUAAAAAACCCCCGGCUAACUACGU